AAGAACAUAACGGCUACAUGUGACCCCUGCUGUGGCUGCUACCUAGCAGCAGCUGCCAUUUUCAGGGACUGCAUGUCCAUGAGGGAGGUGGACAAGAAAAUGCUUAACAUCCAAAACAAGCACAGGAGCUACUUUGCUCAUUGGGUCCCCCCAUAAUGUGAAAUGUAGCCACUUCCAGAGCUAAAAAUGUCCUCCACCUUCAUCAGCAACAACACAGCCAUCCAGGAGCUGUUUAAGCGCAUCUUGGAGCAGCUCACUGUCAUACGCAGGUGCAAGGCCUCCCUGCACUGGUACAUGGGUGAGGGCAUGAAUGAGAUGGAUGAGUACAUUGAGGCUGAGAGCAACAUGAAUGACCUGGUGCCCAAGUACCAACAGUACCAGGAUGCCAUGGCCAAGGAAGACAGAGUUUGAGGAAGAGGUGGCCUAG
rnacentral:lncRNA from 1 species